rnacentral:rRNA from 1 species
AACGAACGCUGGCGGCAGGCUUAACACAUGCAAGUCGAGCGCCCCGCAAGGGGAGCGGCAGACGGGUGAGUAACGCGUGGGAAUCUACCCAUCUCUACGGAAUAACGCAUGGAAACGUUUGCUAAUACCGUAUACGUCCUUCGGGAGAAAGAUUUAUCGGAGAUGGAUGAGCCCGCGUUGGAUUAGCUAGUUGGUGGGGUAAAGGCCUACCAAGGCGACGAUCCAUAGCUGGUCUGAGAGGAUGAUCAGCCACACUGGGACUGAGAAACGGCCCAGACUCCUACGGGAGGCAGCAGUGGGGAAUAUUGGACAAUGGGCGCAAGCCUGAUCCAGCCAUGCCGCGUGAGUGAUGAAGGCCCUAGGGUUGUAAAGCUCUUUCACCGGUGAAGAUAAUGACGGUAACCGGAGAAGAAGCCCCGGCUAACUUCGUGCCAGCCGCCGCUGUAACAC